AACAAACGCUGGCGGCGUGCCUAACACAUGCAAGUCGUACGAGAAAGGGUCCUUCGGGGCCUGAGUAAAGUGGCGCACGGGCGAGUAACGCGUGGAUAAUCUGCCCUUCAGUUGGGAAUAACUCAUCGAAAGGUGGGCUAAUACCGAAUAAUGCUGUGAGACCUCGGUUGAUCAGCCAAAGAGAGCCUCUGCUUGCAAGCCCUCGCUGAAGGAUGAGUCCGCGUACCAUUAGCUAGUUGGUAGGGUAAUGGCCUACCAAGGCGACGAUGGUUAGCUCGUCUGAGAGGAUGAUCAGCGACACUGGAACUGGGACACGGUCCAGACUCCUACGGGAGGUAGCAGUGAGGAAUCUUGCGCAAUGGGGGCAACCCUGACGCAGCAACGCCGCGUGAGUGAGGAAGGUCUUCGGAUCGUAAAGCUCUGUCGGAUGGAAAGAACCGCAUAGGGGUAAACAGCCCCUGUGUCUGACGGUACCAUCAAAGGAAGCACCGGCUAACUCCGUGCCAGCAGCCGCAGUAACAC
rnacentral:rRNA from 1 species